AGGGACAUCAACGAUCACAAAGAGAGGGGCUUUCCCUUGAAAGUGACAAGUUACUAGACAGAUGGAAGCUUCCCAGUGGCACUGGAAAACAGACUCUAAAGAACAGUUUUUUGAUGAAACAGAACACUGGCCUUCCCUCUUCAUUUUGGAGGACUGUUUCAUGCUUUCUGUGAAGACUUCCUACAGGAGAACCAAGUUCGAGUUAUUCUACAGUGACAUGACUGCCGAACUCUGUGACAAUAAAGAUCAGGAUGACUCUCUC
rnacentral:lncRNA from 1 species